ACAGAUCGUGCCAGUGGGCAAUGCUGUCCCCUCCACUCAUCCCCACCCUAUGAGCUGACCCCACGUCAUACUCACAUUCCUUAACGAGGUCCUCGCACACUGUGGGGACUCCAGAAAUAUUUGUUGGAUGAAUUAAUGUGCUUUGUGAGUAUAGAGUCUGGGGGCUCAGUAAUUGAGGGAGGACAUUGGAGGAAGAUGUAUUUACUUUGUGGGUCUGACCCCACCCAACCCCUGGAGCUGGGAGGAUGAACUCAGAGGUAGGGAGACGGACAGUGUGACGUCCUGCGGUUCUGAGAUGCUUCAGAUCAGGCUCUGAGGGAAGGUGGGUCCCUGAAACUGGUUGAGUUAAUUGUAGGAAGCAAGUGUCAUGUGAUGUCAUCUCAGGAGUGCAAUUAAGGCUCGGUGGGUCGUGCUCCUGGAGAACCUGUGAAGAGUCACGACACUGGCUGCCGUAAUUAGAAGCACCAAGGAUGGGCAGGAUGUAGGACCUGGUGGUUGGGCCCCUGCUUGCACCAAUACCUCCUGCCUGAGCGCUGGGGAAUCUCUAGGACAAACCAUAGGCCAGCACUGUGGAUUUGGAGCAACCUUGUCCCAACAGCACAGGUGCUCCAGUGACACUUCUCGAGUUGCUUCCUGUCCCGGCCAGGGCCCAGCCGCCAUGACACACACGCCAGUGGAGGAAUCCCUCUUCCAAAUCAUCCGCUGCUACUGUCAGUACGCGGCCCGGGAGGGGGAUGUGGAGACCCUGUCCCUGGAGGAGUUGAAGGCUCUGCUUCUGGACAAUGUACCCCGCUUCAUGGAGAGCCUGGGCCGGAAGGAGCCCUACUACGUCUCGGAGCUGUUCCGGGCUGCAGACAAGAACAAGGACAACCAGAUCGGCUUCGAGGAGUUCCUGUUGGUGCUGGGGCAGGCGCUGANNNNNNNNNNNNNNNNNNNNNNNNNNNNNNNNNNNNNNNNNNNNNACCCGGCACAGCCUGCACUAGGGGGCCUCCGCCCGCACCUGCCCCCGCGCGGCUGCAGGGCUCUGGGCACACGCGUGUGCAACGCACAGCUGUGAGGGAAGAGAAUAAAGCAA
rnacentral:lncRNA from 1 species